rnacentral:rRNA from 1 species
GACGAACGCUGGCGGCGUGCUUAACACAUGCAAGUCGAGCGGUAAGGCCCUUUCGGGGGUACGACGAGCGGCGAACGGGUGAGUAACACGUGGGUGACCUGCCCUCAGCUCUGGGAUAAGCCUGGGAAACUGGGUCUAAUACCGGAUAUGACUCCAUGACGCAUGUUGUGGGGUGGAAAGCCUUGUGCGGCUGAGGAUGGGCCCGCGGCCUAUCAGCUUGUUGGUGGGGUGAGGCCUACCAAGGCGACGACGGGUAGCCGGCCUGAGAGGGCGACCGGCCACACUGGGACUGAGACACGGCCCAGACUCCUACGGGAGGCAGCAGUGGGGAAUCUUGCGCAAUGGGCGAAAGCCUGACGCAGCGACGCCGCGUGAGGAUGACGGCCUCGG